AAACAUCGCCUCCUGCAAAAACAAAGUAUAGGAGGUCUUGCCUGCCCAGUGAUAAAUUAAACGGCCGCGGUAUUUUGACCGUGCGAAGGUAGCGCAAUCACUUGUCUUUUAAAUAAAGACCUGUAUGAAUGGUGGAACGAGGGCUUAACUGUCUCCCCCCUCAAGUCAAUGAAAUUGAUCUGCCCGUGCAGAAGCGGACAUAAAACUACAAGACGAGAAGACCCUUUGGAGCUUAAGAUAAAAGAUCAACUAUGUCAAAAAUUUAUUUAAAAAUAAAUUAAACCAAAUAAUUAACUGAUCCUAAUCUUCGGUUGGGGCGACCACGGGAGAAAACAAAGCUCCCAUGUGGAUUGGGGCUAACAACCCUAAAACUAAGAAAGACAUUUCUAAGUAACAAUAAUUUUGACCUAACAGAUCCAGCAAUAUGCUGAUCAACGAACCAAGUUACCCAAGGGAUAACAGCGCAAUCCUCUUCAAGAGUUCAUAUCGACAAGAGGGUUUACGACCUCGAUGUUGGAUCAGGACAUCCUAAUGGUGCAGCCGCUAUUAAGGGUUCGUUUGUUCAACGAUUAAAGUCCUACGUGAUCU
rnacentral:rRNA from 1 species